GGAGAGGUGGCUGAGUGGCUGAAAGCGGCACCCUGCUAAGGUGUUAUACCUUCGUGCUAUCGAGGGUUCGAACCCCUCUCUCCCCG
rnacentral:tRNA from 1 species